UACGAAGGGGGCUAGCGUUGCUCGGAAUCACUGGGCGUAAAGGGUGCGUAGGCGGGUCUUUAAGUCAGGGGUGAAAUCCUGGAGCUCAACUCCAGAACUGCCUUCGAUACUGGAAGACUCGAGUCCGGGAGAGGUGAGUGGAACUGCGAGUGUAGAGGUGAAAUUCGUAGAUAUUCGCAAGAACACCAGUGGCGAAGGCGGCUCACUGGCCCGGUACUGACGCUGAGGAGCGAAAGCGUGGGGAGCGAACAGG
rnacentral:rRNA from 1 species